CGCUGACACCAGCUGUGCUACUGCUGCCGCUGUGGCCUCAGUAGCCUUCCCAGGCUACACUCUGGCGAGUCCGGCGUCGUCUGCGGUCGCCUCCCAGCUGAAGCAGGCGGUUUCUCUGGGUCAGGACCUGACGGCCUACACCACCUACGACGGCUACCCCGCCUUCGCUGUGGCAACACGCCACGCCGACGGAUACGGCGUUUUCUAGAGCCGCGGUUUCCAAAGAGUAAAAACACACAUAGCCAAGGCUGCGUUCACACUGUUGUGUCUUUUCAACAGGUUCUCAUUUCAAAUCAGUUCACUUAACGUUUAUCGCUGACUAAACUAAAUCAAACAUCAGUCGUCAAUCAGAGUGAAAAACAUCCACUGCUUGUUUCUGUAAAAACAAAAGCAGAACAGAGCGAUGCACCUUCUAUCCAACAGGGGGAUAAAACAACCUUUUGAAAACCGCUGCUGAAAAUGUGUCGGACUCGUCAGUGAAAUAAAUUCCUCACGUUCUUUACUU